GGACCACCCCGUGUCCCCUCCCCAGGACCUGGAGAUCAGCGUCACCGAGCUCCAGACCAUCCUCAACCGCAUCAUCGCCAAACACAAAGAUCUGCGGACCAAGGGCUUCAGCAUCGAGUCCUGCCGGAGCAUGGUGAACCUGAUGGACAAAGACGGGAACGGGAAACUGGGGCUGGUGGAGUUCAACGUCCUCUGGAACCGCAUCCGCAACUACCUG